rnacentral:tRNA from 1 species
GGGCGAGUGGUGGAAUGGCAGACACGCAGGGUUCAGGACCCUGUGGCCGCAAGGCCGUGGGGGUUCAAAUCCCCCCUCGCCCA